rnacentral:misc_RNA from 1 species
GAUGAAGAACGUAGCGAAAUGCGAUAAGUAGUGUGAAUUGCAGAAUUCAGUGAAUCAUCGAAUCUUUGAACGUACAUUGCGCCUUCUAGUAUUCUGGGAGGCAUGCCUGUUUGAGCGUCAUUAAACCUCUCUCAAGUAUGAUUACUUGGAUGUGAAGGAAGAGUACCUUAAACUUAAGGAGUGUUCUCCUUUGAAAUUGAUUAGCAGAUGGUAAUGUUAUUAAAUCCCUGAUGUUGUAAGAAAUAACAGUGGUUUUGUAGACUAUUAUCUAGCUUUAAAUUAUAAUUUUUAUUAUGGUUGACCUCAAAUCAGGUAAGGAUACCCGCUGAACUUAAGCAUAUCAAUAAGCGGAGGA